rnacentral:tRNA from 3 species
GCCCUUGUAGUACAAACUAAUACGCUAGUCUUGUAAACUAGAGAUGGAACUCAUAAUCCCCAGGACA